CAUGCAGUCGAGCGCUACCUUCGGGUGGAGCGGCGGACGGGUUAGUAAGCGUAGGGAGAUACCCAACACUACGGAAUAGCCUCUGGAAAAGGAGAGUAAUACCGUAUACGCCCUUCGGGGGAAAGAUUUAUCGGUGAUGGAUUGGCCCGCGUUAGAUCCCCACAGGAGGGGGGGGUAAUGGCCUACCAAGUCUACGAUCUAUAGCUGGUUUGAGAGGAUGAUCAGCAACACUGGGGACUGGGACACGGCCCAGACUCCUACGGGAGGCAGCAGUGGGGAAUCUUAGACAAUGGGCGCAAGCCUGAUCUAGCGAUGCCGCGUGAGUGACGAAGGCUUAGGGUCGUAAAGCUCUUUCGCCAGGGAUAUAAUGACUGUUCCUUGGUAAAGAAACCCCGGCUAACUCCGUGCGAGGGGGCGGCGUCACCACCCCCGCGGUUUAGCGUUGUUCGGAAUUACGGGGGCGAAAGCGCAGUAGGCGAAUAAGAAAGCUAGAGGUGGAAUCCCAAGGCUCACCCUGAAACUGGCUUUAGAACUACUAGCAAGAUUCGAAAGAGUGAUUGCAUUCCAGUGGUGAGUGAAUUGUUAAAUUUCGAGGACACAGUGAGAAGCCGCUACAUGUGUCAACUGCCCCUGAGGUGC
rnacentral:rRNA from 1 species